UACGUAGGGGGCAAGCGUUGUCCGGAAUUAUUGGGCGUAAAGAGCGUGUAGGCGGUCCGGUAAGUCAGCUGUGAAAGUCAAGGGCUCAACCCCUGAAAGCCGGUUGAUACUGUCGGGCUAGAGUCCGGAAGAGGCGAGUGGAAUUCCCGGUGUAGCGGUGAAAUGCGCAGAUAUCAGGAGGAACACCGGUGGCGAAGGCGGUUCUCUGGGCAUUACCUGACGCUGAGGAGCGAAAGUGUGGGGAGCGAACAGG
rnacentral:rRNA from 1 species